rnacentral:rRNA from 1 species
AUUGAACGCUAACGGCGUGCUUAACACAUGCAAGUCGAGCGGCAGCAUGACUGUAGCAAUACAGUUGAUGGCGAGCGGCGGACGGGUGAGUAAUGCAUAGGAAUCUGCCUUGUAGUGGGGGAUAACCCGGGGAAACUCGGGCUAAUACCGCAUAAUCUCUACGGAGCAAAGUGGGGGAUCGUAAGACCUCACGCUAAAAGAUGAGCCUAUGUUGGAUUAGCUAGUUGGUGAGGUAAUGGCUCACCAAGGCGACGAUCCAUAGCUGGUCUGAGAGGAUGAUCAGCCACACUGGGACUGAGACACGGCCCAGACUCCUACGGGAGGCAGCAGUGGGGAAUAUUGGACAAUGGGCGAAAGCCUGAUCCAGCAACGCCGUGUGUGUGAAGAAGGCCUUCGGGUCGUAAAGCACUUUUAGUUGGGAAGAAAAGCUCAUGGGUAAUAUCCAUGAGUGCUGACGUUACCAACAGAAAAAGCACUGGCUAACUCUGUGCCAGCCGCCGCAGUAA